rnacentral:lncRNA from 1 species
CAGAAAAGCUGGGAUACAUGAAGACUGCCAUCCCUUGAGUCACUUGCCCUGUAGCUGCCACUGUUGGAAAAGGGCUUGAUUCUGUGUCCUUGUGCCCACUUUGAAAAGCCCUGGGAAGUCCUUGGAGUCAGAUGAUCAGGCCUCCACCACUCUGCCAAAAAGUCUGUUCAAUCAGGAGUCCCCAACCCCUGAGCCACGGACUGAUAUGGAUCUAUGGUCUCUUAGGAACUGGGCUGCACAGGAGCAAUGGUGCUUCUAGAAUUUCCUUACAGGAAGAGUGAAGAGUAAGCAUUUGGAUUGGACCAGGAUUUGGAGAACUUGUCAUGUUGCUCUAUGUGCAUAUGAAAUGCAUCAUUGUAACUUAGAAUGUGAAUUAUAGAACAAACAUGGAAGUUGGAAAAAUAUUCUAAACAUAUUUUUAUGA